rnacentral:rRNA from 1 species
UACGUAGGGUGCGAGCGUUAAUCGGAAUUACUGGGCGUAAAGUGUGCGCAGGCGGCCAUGCAAGUCGAGUGUGAAAGCCCCGAGCUUAACUUGGGAAUUGCGCUCGAAACUACGUGGCUGGAGUGUGGCAGAGGAAGGUGGAAUUCCACGUGUAGCGGUGAAAUGCGUAGAGAUGUGGAGGAACACCAAUGGCGAAGGCAGCCUUCUGGGCCGAACACUGACGCUCAUGCACGAAAGCGUAGGGAGCAAACAGG